GACCUGGCUGGGCGGUCUUGCCGAAAGGUAAGCACUGCUCUGGUCGGGUCUUUCCUUCUGGGGAACCUGUGUGCUCUUAAUUGAGUGCGCAGGGGAUCCAGGACUUUUACUUUGAAAAAAUUAGAGUGUUUAAAGCAGGCUUCUGCCUGAAUACAUUAGCAUGGAAUAAUAGAAUAGGAC
rnacentral:rRNA from 1 species